UAGCUAUGAUUUUGACAUUUGAGGCUUA
rnacentral:sRNA from 1 species